rnacentral:lncRNA from 1 species
GUAAAAUACCUGGACUAGUACAACGUGCACUGUUGGCACAAUUUCUCUUCAAUUUAAAUGUCUCUUCUCAUCUCAAAAAUUCUUUAAAGUGCUAACUUUAAAUAAAGCAGGUAAAUUCUUCAGGUAAUUUGCUACCGAAGUAUGCCAAUUUUGCUAGGGCAAAAGAGGAACUAGGAAUACACUCAAGUGAGACAGGAAGACAGGCGCGGGGAGACACCGCCAAGUCGGAGCUGGACAAAGCCGCAGCCCGCUCUGACGCCACCUGGGCCCCAAGGGUUCAAUUCCGUGCAGGAACCAACAGACCUCCCCGCCUGCUGCUGCAGUGCACGCCCUCAGACCCGCUUCAUAGCUACACAUGCCGGCCCCGCCGCUUACAAACCCAGACCAACACCCAAUAAAGCAACAUGACGGACCAGGGGCGGGCCGCCCCAGAGAUGACCACACAACGCCACGGGGACCCUCCAGACCUCAAGCUGAACCCGCCCGCGCCGCGUCACUCCUGCCCUUGCGCCGCCUUUUCGAGGAAGUAGACGUUAACCAGGUGGCGAUGCAGGUGCCUGCUGUAGUCCCUCUCCUUCCGGAACGCGCGGUCACAGAAGAUGCACACGAACCCGCCCGCCGCCGAUGCAUCCUUGCCGCUCUUCCCGCGGGUCUCCUGUGGGGCCGGCCGAGCCCCGUUCAACCCUGAGUCGUCGCUGUCCUCGGACACGUUGUCGCUCAGGUCGCUUCCGUCGUGACUGUGGAUGCCUUCAUCUUCCUCCACGUCCGGAGCCCCACCUGCGGCCGUGGUGACCGGAGGGGACGCCCCGGGAGCCGCGGGUCCUCGGGAGGCUGGGUCUCUGCCAGGGGCGCUCUCCGCCUUGUCCCCGUCGCUGUCCAUCGCCACCCGUGCGCCCUCCGGAGGCUCACGUUCGGGCUCCCUCGGCUUGUGUUCGGAGGAUGGAACCUGAGCAGACAGCUCGAUGGCGGCGCCAAGACCAGCUGGACCCUCCACGGCCUCCUCGGCCUCCUCUGCCUCCACAGUCCCGAGACGGGCUUCCUGACCGCCUCCGCCUGCAGGGACAACGUUUCGGUCUCCGGACGCCUCUUCUUUCGGGAGUUCCCCCGGCAGAGGUGCCACCUGAACAAACUCUACCUCCGCCGGUACCACCUCAACAACCUUCGCAGGCUCCACGGGAGGAGGGGGAGGCUCCUUCUCCUCAGGCCCCACCUGAACAACCUCAACCUCCGCAGGUGCCACCUGAACAACCUCUACCUCUGCAGGUGCCACCUGAAUGACCUCUACCUCCGAAGGUGUCACCUGAACGACCCCCGCAGGCCCCGCAGGAGGAGGAGGAGGGGGCGCAGGGGGAGGCCCCGUGCCAGCAACCUCUACCUCAGCAGGUGUCACCUGAAUGACCUCGCCAGGCCCCACAGAGGGAGGAGGGGGAGGCGGGUCUGGCAGUGCAGGCCCCACCUGAGGAGGCUCUGUCUGAGCAGGUUUCUGCUGGACAGUACCCUUCUGAGCGGCCUUGCUGCUUUUUCUAGAGGAUUUAUGUUUCAGAGUUUUCUUCUUUGUGCUCUUCUUCAUGCAAAUACUUUGCUUCUUAUUCUCGACUCUGCUGUCACCCUUUGGUGUUUCCUGGCCACUUCUGGAUUUGCUCUCUGCCUUCUUCUUCUUUUUUGGCGCAGGUUCCUCAUCCGGAACAGGCUCUUGUAUUUUUGCCUGCUCCGUUUCUGUUUUCUCGCUGGUGAUUUUGUCAUCAGGCAAGUCGGCCUCUCGCUUUUUGGUUUUCUUCAGUUUCACCUUUGAGACAUCCAUCGUUUUACUGGGGCAGGUGGGAUGCUUCGACUUGAAAUGAUACUGCAGAUUACACUUCUUGGAAGCUGCGUAGUCGCACACCGGGCAGUUGAACUGCCGUGGAUUGACAUGCAGCUCGACGUGCUUCUUGAAGUUACUUCUGUCUGCUGUCUUGUAGUCACAGUGCGGGCAGCUCAGCGGUUUAGGCCCGUUGUGCACCUGUCUCGCGUGGCGGGUUACUUCGUGUUGAUUAGAGGCCACGUAACUGCACUGGUCGCACUUAAAUGGCUUCUCACCUGAGGGUAAACAAGAGAUGUUACCGGAGACAUACACCAGGAAGUGAAUUAAGACUUAUUCAAAUCACCUGACAAGGAAUUGGAUACAUAGGAAAGCAAACAAAAACAAAAAACCACAAAAACUAUUUCUCGAAGACUUCAUCAUGCAACUCACAUUUACCAUAUUUAUUUGUAUAUCUUUUCUCUUCCCCUUGACACUGACUCUCAUACCAAAUGGAAGGAUAAUUUUCUCAGUUCAUCAUCAUCUCCUAAAACGGGUACCAAGCUAAGGCUUUCCAGCACUAUUAGAGAACACAGAUUUGUCAAUUACCAGCAAAGUGACCUGGGCUCUCAAGGCUAAUUUAGGGGCUUGGUCACCCAAAGAGAGAAGAUAAUUUCACAUUUUUUAUAUUUAGUUAAAACAAAUGUAUAAGGGAGUAGAAUAUAAAAUUCCCGUACAUUUAAGAUAAGUCUUGAGACUUCAAAAUAACUAUCUCACACUCUAAGCUACCGCUCCCAGAGUUUGAAAACAAUGCUUUGGCCUCUGGGAGUAAAAGGCUUUUCCUCUCAACUUAACCCUUUGAGCAUCAGAGCAGGAACUGGGUCAAGUUUCAAUCAGCAAACAUUCCCAGUGCCCAGGGGUGCUACUUCGCAGCAAACAUAGAGCCCGAGUCUUGAUUCUCUCCCUCCUUCUUCUAGAGAAUGGGCAAAGAUACCAGCUGAGUGAAAAGAGGCAA